GUGCGGGAGCGGGGGGAAUCUUCCCAAUGCUUCCCCUCCUCCCCGGGUGGCGGAGGCGGCGGGGCGGGGGGGGGGGGGGGGCUCUCGGUGAUUCGGCGAUCGGCCGCGUGGGCUGGGGCCAGGCUGCGGAAUCCCGAGCCGCCGAUGGGACGGAUCGGGGCGGGGAGGGAGGGCUGUUGGGACACGAUGGGGUUAAGCUGGGUCGGCCGCCAUUUUGGAUGCCGAGCCGCCUCGCUGCGGGAAGGUGUUGGCCAAAACCGCAAGGGAUGCUCUUGGGCGUGACCUGCUGUUUGACCUCUCUCACUUGCCAUUGAAAUGAGGUUCACACUGUGGUGAUUCAGGUUGGCUCAGAUUUACAUUUUUUAAACAAAUCAAACUACCGUAUGUUACUUGUAAGUUUAUGCUCAGGUUUUGUUUGAUGAGGGCGUUUGGGGUUUUAUUAUUUUGUUUUCUUUAAUAAGAAAGAUAUCACUCAGAGGCAUGACUAGACUUGCUUGCAAGUGGUUACAUUUAGCUGUAAUCUGCCUGGUGAGUUGUAGGAGGAAAAUUGCACUAGUUUGAACUGGAUUUAGUAGCAGGGAUAUUUUAAUUUGGGGCAGCAGAGAGAAAAUUGUAUAACACUGUUGUGCUGUAGUAGGAGAAGAAGCCAGUGAAUUGCAUGAUUUUUCCAUCUUUGUAAUCAGUUUGUUAUGCAGAAAGCAGUGCCGUGGGAUUCAGCGUUUUAUCUGCUGGGUUUCCCCUGGCAGCAUCUGAAGAAGUUCAUUAUAAGUGUUUAUCACAUGAUCCACUUAAUCAAACCACUGAAACUCGGAGAAUAAGUCAUUCUAACAAGACCCUUCAGAGCUGCCUUAUAAGCUGCUUACUGAUACACUCUUCCUUGGUGAGUGUACAAUGAGCUUCCUUGUAUCCUGGUCUAUGAUACAGGAAGUUCAUUAUCCCCAGUCCAAAUUCAGAUGGAGAGAAAGGAAGCAGGGCUUACAAAGAAGCGACAGAUAAUUUGCAAAGGAUUUUAGUUAGCCACUCAAAUCCCAGAUAGAGUCAGACUGUAAGCUCUUCAUAACAACAGCCUUCUGGUUUCCAGCAUUAGGCACAGAGCAGCUAUCUAUGUAGCUGGCUCUAAUGUUGUAAAAUACAGAUGACACAUGAGAAAUUAUUUGCUUCUUUUGAUUAGUGGUUAGCUAAUGGAAGCAUGUGAGAAAAAAGAGAAAGCAGAACCGAAACCGUGCUUUUAGCUGGGUAAUAGCACAUAUACUGCAUAACAGCAGCAAAGCUGAUAUCUGGGCUGAUGCAAAAUGCCUUGAAAGCCUGCUAAAUCCCAGCGUGCGCUAGGGUCUGAGAUACCGAGACUUGUCUGACAAGCCAGGAGCUCAGAGACGUCCUGUCUGCAGCCUGUGUUUGCGCACUGUAUGUCUGGUAGGAUGAAAUGCAUUUCCUUGUGAUGUACCUAGGAAAUGUUCUGGUUGUAGGGAGCAGGUGAGUCAAGGGCUCCUCUGCCUCCUUGAAGGCGUUCAUUUUACCGAGCUCUGUCACAAGCGACAUGACACCAGAUUUUCUGCACUCACUGGAUUUUCUCACUGUUGCUAUUUCACAGACAGUGUCUCCUAAAAGCUUGGCUUCACGCUGUCUGCUAAAGACCAGUUUGGGUACCACCACGGAUGUAGGCUUGGACCAACCUUAAUGUAGAAAUGUCUUGGGUAAUUUUCCCAAGCACCACCCUGUUUCCAUACAGUAGCGCUACUUAGCUAUACCUCUUCUUUCACCUUCCAACCUCACGGGAAGGCAGAACAGGGUUACGUCAGACCAAAUGCUGAUUUUGUGUAGGGACACACAGGAUGAGUCUGAUGUGGGUCUCCAGAUGAACCUUUUUUGUACUGGCAACUGCCAUUGGGACAAGGAGCAUUGGGCAGUUUGAGACAAGCUGCUCUGUAAGACAUUGAAACCAGGGAAGUGUGCAAGACUGAAAAAUAUGGGCAACAGGAAAAAAACCCCACCAGGCUGGUUUGAUGGGGAUGAUGCUUUUUCCCUAGUGUAGCUCCAGUGAAGCAGGUCACAAAAUUCGCUCUGUUGUCCAGGGACCGCUUUGAGAGAAGGCUGAAACCUGGCUUUCCAGUGCUGAAGUCCAUCCAGCCCAGAGCUUUAAAAGAUGUUAAUUACUCCUGGGAGUAAUUAACUCCGGCCUGGAGUGAGCAAGGAGUCUGGACUGCGUCAAUCAACAGAUGUGAGGAUUUGAAAUAUGCAAUUUUCAUUCGUUGUGUUAGAAGAAACCUCUUUGUUUCCCAUGUACUUCUGUACCUGGCUGACUUGCCUUGAUGCAGGUGUCGGUCUCUUGACUGCUGAUACACCGAUACACCAAGUUGGCAUCGGUAUGCCUGCGUCCUCAGGAGGGGCUGUGCUGCUGUAGUAGGUUGGUGUGCAGCUAAUAAAACAGGACACAAAAGCCUGGAUGAAAAUACUGUUUUGCUGUCUUUUCCCUCUUCAUUUUAAAGUAGUAAAUGCUAAAUUAUUUUACCUCUUUUUAAAAUAAAGCAUGAAGCAAAAAAAGAUGAAUCUGCAAGCUGGUUACUUUUGGUACUUCAUUCAGUUUUUUUACAGUGUAGCUCCCUUCCUCUUUCUCAGUUCUUUAGUGUGCUGUGCUGUCUGCUUUUUCGGUUUCUGUUGUGUCUAUUUAAAGAGCCCCCUUUCAUCUCUCUUUUGGGACAGCCUUAAUGCUGGCUUUCUGCUGUUUCAGCUUCUAUACAGCCAGUGCUUCAAGAAAAGUGUCUCUCUUGUAAAGCUGGGAGGAGAAUGGACCCAUAAAAAUAAAUACGGUUUGUAUGCACGUAGUAUUUAAUCAGUAAGUCUCCAGUAACUUUACCUAAGUGACCAGUCUGCUAUCAUCUCAGCUUCUUAGGUAAGGAGACUGGAGCAGAGUGAGUUGAUAACUUUCUGCAGUCUGCAGCAAUGCAGUAGUAAAGUGGAGAAUAAAACUCGUUUUCCAAGUGACUUUUCAGUGCCUGACCCACUGCCCUGUACAUGGGGAGAGCCAGUACCAAGCAUCUGGAAUCAUUGUUGGUAGGGCUGUCUUUAGUCUGCUGUAAAGAGUAAUGGGCAGUUGUCCACUGCGUCUGCCAGUUUGGCAUUCAGGAGCCACUAGUGCCCAUAUCGAUGCUGAGGCUGCAUCUCAGGGUCUCUGCACGACCUGCUUGGAGGGAAGAUCUGGGAGGAGGGCUGUGAUGGGUGUUGUGUGCAUCUGACUGCAUGCUUUCACAUGUGUGAGAUGCACACAACGCCCAUUGAGAACUGAAGCGAUGCUACCAGAUACUGACCUGACUGGGUUUGGUCAGUGCCAAGCCAGGCUCAAUUCUCUCCCCCAGCCUAGGGAUUAAAGACUCUUUAAUGCAUUUGCUGUUCCUGGGCGGUUCAGCUCGGCCCUCAGCAGCAUUACCUGUUUAGAAGUGUUUCUCGCUGAAUUGCUUCCUUUGAAGACUGCAGGCUUUGUAACAGUGGACUGCAGCACCUGCUGCUUGCUGGAAAUCUCAAGGCUGGCACAUGAGAGCAAUGCAGCGCUGAACGUGCCAGUCAUAAAGCAUCACAUUUUGCAGAUUUUCGCUGGAGGUAGCUGAUGAAAAACAGAACAGACAUGUUGUAAGGGCUGUCAGCCCAAGUAAAGGAAGGCAGCUUUGAAGAAAGCCUCCAAGCCAGAAUUUCCAGAAUACACUUUCUUUAGAAAAAAGUAGAAAAUUCAAAGAACGAAAUUGAGUCCGAACGACCUCACUGCAGGUGGUGCUGGUCAUGAUUUUUUAAAAUAAAUUUUAAUUGUUAACUAUUGUAAUCAUUGCAUUUUGUCCAGUGUCUGCCAUUACAGUAUCUUUUUUUGCAGCCCUAGAAAACCCACAUUUUUGUGGUUCUCUGGGGCUUUCCCACAGCACGCAUUUCCCCCUCCCUUAGAAGACUGGUACAAUACAACAGAGAGGACUUGUUCUGCCCAACCUGCAAACUAGGUGCUGGAAGGUCACCUGCUCCCUGGCAGGAUUUGGGCCACCCCUUUCCCCCUUCCACAACAGCCAGUCCUGCAGGGAUUUAUACCCACUGGGUGCAUCUGUGUUUCACCUGAGAUUCCCUGGAUCCGUCCAUUAGCCCCACGGGCUUGGUGGCCGCAGAGGUUGCUGCGAAGCUCCCUUGACCUGAGGGUUAGGUGGGCAAGAAGGUGCUUGCUGUCUCCUGCUCCGGAAACUGCAGAAGUCCCUGAUACCUUUCAUUGAAGAACAAAUGUUAAAAAAACAAAACACCCUGCCUUUGCUUUUGGUGGCAUUUUUUCCAGUUAGCAGGGAUCGGCACAACGGCAUGCAGUGCCCAGAGGCACGAUGGAGGAUACGUGCAUUUGUAUUUGUCUGUCCCAUCUACACCAGCGAGCCCUUGAAAUGUAGCCUAGCUGGCAGAUCUGGUCAGGCUGGGAAACUUCGCUUUAGAUGUUUUUUUGUUUACAAGUGAUCUUGGCCACAGACAGGGACACACAGCCGGUGGUCUGUGCACAGCUCUGUGAUCAGGCUGAGGCAGGGCUGCGAGCCUGUGAAGGCUGGAGUGGGGCUGAGCUCUCCCAGCUUAUUCCUGGCUCGAUUUGGAGCCAGCAUUGGGGAGGCUGCUCCUCUGCUGCAGGUGGGUGUCUCGGGGCUUGGUUUGGCUUUGCCUGUGCGGGCAGCAGCAGCCAGCACCCGUCUGCGGCCAUGGCUCGGAGCGGGUGCGCAAUGGACACCUCGGCUUGCUCCUGCUGUGCUUCUCCUGCAGGCCAGAGGACGCCUCUCGCUGCUAGCAUUAACUGCUUUAAUACAGGUAUCACACAAAUGCAGAUAUCCUUCCUCCUCCACUCAUUAAAACAGCAUUGGACAAGGUGCGAGAGGUGCGUGUCGGAAGGCCUGGCAUCUCGGGGAGGGAUUUGCAAGCAGUUUUUGUGAGAUGCUCGUGUGCCAGCGCGGUUUGUGCUGGCUGCAGGGGCCCGUGCGGCUGGUGCAGCUCAAGCAGAAGUGACGCCGUGGAGAUUCCUAACAAUACUGAUGUGCCGUAUGGCAGCCUUGGAACUUCAGAAGGCCGAUGUUGGGGACCGAGAAGAAGGAGCAGUACCAGCCCGUUGGUACUGCGAACCCGGUAUUAUGGCAGUGCUUUCCUGCAGCAACAUUGUGAUAAAGGAUGGUGGAGGGGCAGUGACCUGCCGAAGCCGUGACCUUCCAGGGAGGAUCCGUUUCCCGAACAGACACUGAACAGCAGCAGAGUCCCGCAGGUGGAGGAACGUGUUAAAUUAAAGCCAAAGCGUAACAAGAGAGAUGUUUGCUCUGGAAGAUAACGUGUGCCUGUUCUUGCACGCUGAGGGUGAGGAAAGUCUCCCAAGACGUGUUUUACUUUGUUACCACAGUAGACCUUUUGCACUGUGAGGCCACAUAGCUCGCCUUUCUCCCCCUUAACCCUUCCCUUUUAAGACCAGGGAUCUCACUCAGCUUUACCAGUGCCUUCAAUGUGACAAACCAGAAGUGCAAUAAAUGGUGGCACUUGCUCCUUUUUCUCCAUCAGUACAUCUCAUUGUGGAGCUGCCCUGACCACACUGCCCAAGUUUGCUGCCCGAACUGAUGCUGUUACUGAGAUGCACGGGGCUCUGGUAUCUGCACACUGGUCGAUGGUUGGAGACAAGGGAAAGGCAUGCUCUGAGCAAGGCACCCUUUGGUGAGGCUGCUAUAAUGAGCCAGCUUCGUUAUCUGCCUUGCUGCUGGUCCCAGAGAGGCUGCAGGGAUGUCUGCUUCUUUAUUUUCUUAAAUGGCACCAAAUGAUGGCAGUUAAAAGCCUACCAGGAGAAAAUGAGCUCUUAGGGCAGCAUUUCAUGUCUUGUGUGCAAGGCUUUAUUGGAUUAACUUUGUACUAGAACCGCCGUACGCUUCCUUUGCUGGAGAGGCCGAUCUAGCUUAACUGUGGGAUAAAAACUUUACAACCAUACUUUUGUCACACAGGUGACUUGCAUAAAAAAAUCUUUAUAUGCAUUAAUGUCACCUGAGUUUCAGCAGGCCCUGUUUCUCAGUGAUCUCCGUCUCUGUCUUAGUGCUGCACUCAUCCCAGUGUUAAGUACGUAACUCUCCUGCUUUGCUUCUAUUUUCCACAUUACGGACAGUGCGUUUCCUUCCUCUCGCGUGCACCCCUUGCAAACGUAGAGGUGCUGUGAGAGAACCCCCCGGUGCUACUGUCGCUGUUCAGGUGAUGCUUUUUGCCUCUGUGGGCACCUGCAGCUCGGCAGCUCCAGCCGGGCAGCAUUGCCAGCCUGCGGGAGGGAGACCUGAAUACUUCCAGCUACUUGCGCAUUAUUUACACGCAAAGUUAAUAACUGACUCAAGAGUUCAUCUACAAAUAUAUUUUUAGGGCUGUUCUUGGUAAAUUUUUCCCCUCUCGAAUGCAGAACUCUUGUUUUCUGUAAUUUCUUUCCUAUAUUUUCCCUUAACCCUUAUCCAUUUUAACAUUAAUGUGUUAGCUGUGAAACAGCUGGUGUAUUCUCAGGCUCUUCUCCCUUACCUGCUGAUUAUUUCGUUUUUUUCACCGUCCUCUAUCUCUACUUUUGUUGUUUGCAAAAACCAGCUUUUCUCCUCCCUCUCCCUCUUCACAGCUCCCACCAUCUGUCUCUCUACAAAUAAAAAGCUUUAGGGGAAAUGAUUCACUAAGCUGCUAGCUCAUUACUCACACUCUCCCCAUCACGGUUUCUGUCCUUGUAGGAUGCUCUAACUAAUGUAAAGAUCAAUAAAUCCUGGGAAUUGUUAUUCAAUUAAAAAAAAAAAAAUGCCCCAGCAGUUAAAUAGAUUGGGCUCUUUGUACUUCCUGAACACCAAUGCUUAGUUUUUCUUCCUCACGCCGCUAGCCUUGUUUUUCAGCGAAGGAUCAUUGAAACAGAAGAACAGAAAUGAUCACCGGACCAUUUAAUGCAACCUUGUGUAUCACAUGAUGCGGGAGUUACUUAAUGAAAUUCCCUGCCCCAAACCAAGCAAAUCUGUGGUAAAUCUAGAGCACAUAUUUUAGGAUGACAGCCAAAAUGAUGAAAGGAAUUUACUACCCAGCCUCGCUAAUCAUUUUGAAUGCUUAACUGCACUCCCUAAUAUGCUGCUUUGGAAGCAGCAAAACUGACACAGCCUCAUUCCCUACAGACUUCUCUCCCUCCUCCAGCCUUCCCCAGGCUGCGUACCCCGAAAGCCCUCCCAACCCCCUGCCAGCCCUGUGCGGAGGCAGGGUGGCCAGCUGUGACUCCCGUGAGUGCUGGCUGGCCAGCUGUGACUCCCGUGAGUGCUGGCUGGCCAGCUGCCCACCCUGGGAAGAGACCUGCUCGGGCCUGAGCCCCGCUGCCUCUCUCCCCCAGCACGCAGGUUCGGCGCUGGCUCUUCGCUCAGGUUAUUAUUUCCAUGAAACUCGUGGGCACUUAGUCUCUUUGAGCAUCUCCCUAUUAAAUGUGGUAGAAAUUAGCUAAGGGGCUCGGGAGCCAUUUCGGUCAGACUAGUUCACAGUGGUAAAACAUUUCAGAUAUCUUAAAAUACCAGAGACAGCCCUCUUGAGCUGGCAGAUACGCCAUAGCAUUUCAUGGGACUUGCUCAACCUGGAAGCUGAGCUCAGCUCUGUAGGGCACUCCAGGCGACCCUAAAAGCCAAUGUUUAGGUACCCACAUCCCACUCCUUUUGUCUUCACUUUGUUGACCUUUUAAGAAGGAUUUCUGUCAUGUUUUUAGGCUAGUCACCAUAUACUAGAAAGUUAUUUUCUUCAUUGGAAUCUUCACUUUUACAUGGAAAACGGACGCCCCUGCCCACACAAGUAGGUAACAAGAAGCACCACCACCUAACACAGUUUUAUUGCGCCUUGUCAGGAAGCUGCCAGCACGGCAGGUAUUGGCUUAUUUCAGUUGCUGAGUUUCCCUUUAGAAAUUGGAGUUGUAAGCAGCACAGCAAAUACCACAAUCGAAAUUUUAAGAGCUGCAAAUGCUGGAUACACCCUUCUCCCCCUUCUCUUAAAUGGCUGCAACUCUUUAUGCAAAAGCCUGCUAAAGGAAAACCCGAGUAUGUCUGCAAUGUGGAUUUUUUUUCUCGUGAGCACCACAAAGCACAUCCUGUAUCAACAUACCACACCGGCACCACAUUCAUGGGAAGCUAAUUAAAUAAUUUGGGUAGUCUUAACAGGAGCAUCAGCGUCUCUGCUAGUUUAGUUUUCAGACUACCAAACAUUUUUUUAUAAAGCUGUGUUGGGGUCCUUCCAUAACAAAUAAUAAAGCUGAGGAGGACCUUGGAAAGAGCCUGCAUUGAGCAGCCAUGAAAUGCUCUGUUUCUGAGCAGGACAUUCUUACACAACUACUCUGAAGAAUAAAGGCUGCAGAGUUUUAAGACAACAGGGUCCACUAUUACCUCAGUAAGGUUAAGGCAGUUUUAAAAAAAGAACCCUCAAAGUGGUACUUAACGUGCUCUGUUAAAAGAA